rnacentral:rRNA from 1 species
AUUGAACGCUGGCGGCAUGCCUUACACAUGCAAGUCGAACGGCAGCACGGGGGCAACCCUGGUGGCGAGUGGCGAACGGGUGAGUAAUAUAUCGGAACGUACCCUAGAGUGGGGGAUAACGUAGCCAAAGUUACGCUAAUACCGCAUACGAUCUACGGAUGAAACCGGGGGAUCGCAAGACCUCGCGCUCAUGGAGCGGCCGAUAUCUGAUUAGCUAGUUGGUAGGGUAAAAGCCUACCAAGGCAUCGAUCAGUAGCUGGUCUGAGAGGACGACCAGCCACACUGGGACUGAGACACGGCCCAGACUCCUACGGGAGGCAGCAGUGGGGAAUUUUGGACAAUGGGGGCAACCCUGAUCCAGCAAUGCCGCGUGAGUGAAGAAGGCCUUCGGGUUGUAAAGCUCUUUUGUCAGGGGAGAAACGGUUUGGCCUAAUACGCUGGACUAAUGACGGUACCUGAAGGAUAAGGACCGGCUAACUACGUGC